CACCUCCGGUGGCAGGCUAUUCCAGACCUUGGGGGCUCGGACAGUGAAGAAAUCCUUCCUUAUGUCCAGCCUGGAACGGUCUUGCUGAAGUUUAUAACCAUUCAUCCUUGUCAUA